AGCGAGUCUGAAUAGGGCGUUGAGUAUUUGGUCGUAGACCCGAAACCAGGUGAUCUACCCUUGGUCAGGUUGAAGUCAGGUAACACUGAAUGGAGGACCGAACCGACUUACGUUGAAAAGUGAGCGGAUGAACUGAGGGUAGCGGAGAAAUUCCAAUCGAACUUGGAGAUAGCUGGUUCUCUCCGAAAUAGCUUUAGGGCUAGCCUCAAGUGAUGAUUAUUGGAGGUAGAGCACUGUUUGGACG
rnacentral:rRNA from 1 species